CAACCCUGAUCUCGUAAGAAAAAUUGGAUGCAAUUGCAAGUGCUGUGCGUUUGUGAGAGGAGAACUGUCCUUGAAACCUGGUUCAAACAUGAUUCACCCUCAAAGGAAUCAAAGUCCUAGUUCAGGAUAUGGUCACAGCCUUGCAAGCUGUCACUCACCUUCCUCAGGUCCAAUGAAACUGUAGUGCAAGGACUUAGAAAGUUUUGAAUUAAAUGACUUAGAAAACUGAUUAUAACAAGAUGGUAUAUACAAGACGGUAUCAUUGCACAUUAUACAGGAGCUAUGAAAGCAGAAUGGAAAUGGGUUCACCUUCAACAUAAGAGAUGAAAAUUUCAAGAAUGCAAGAUUUUUAAUAAACGAGUAAUCUCUCUCAAGACUACUCUGAAAAGAAGAAAUCUCCAUCACGAUUUGAAGUAUCCUGUUCUGGAACCACAUUUUGAUCACAGUCUUUUUAGCAUAAAAAGUUCUUGUUUCCUCUUGCAGAUAAAAAAACUUACAAGCAAAUAAACCCUGAGGCUAGAAUCCAGCAGCCAUAGGAGGAAGAAAGAACCCAGAGGAUUGCUUCCUAUGCUCUUGUGAUGGUGGAGAAGGAUUGCAGGAGAUAGUGAAGAUACUUGUGAACCUCCUUGAAGGUCAUGUCUGACAUUGGAUGGAAUGUCUGAGAGGUGUUACCGGUGAGAGCAGAACCUGCUGAGCAAAGGAGAGAAUAUGAAAAUCUGGCUUAAAGAUUAAAAGAUUACUUAAUUGUUUUUUGUUGGUUUUGUUUGUUUGUGCGUGUGUUUCAUUUUAUUUUAGCUUUAGUUUUCAUGUUAGAGUGUAUGCAAGAGU